rnacentral:rRNA from 1 species
AUUGAACGCUGGCGGCAGGCCUAACACAUGCAAGUCGAACGGUAACAGGAAGCCGCUUGCUGCUUCGCUGACGAGUGGCGGACGGGUGAGUAAUGUCUGGGAAGCUGCCUGAUGAGGGGGAUAACUACUGGAAACGGUAGCUAAUACCGCAUAAUGUCGCAAGACCAAAGAGGGGGACCUUCGGGCCUCUUGCCAUCGGAUGUGCCCAGAUGGGAUUAGCUUGUUGGUGGGGUAACGGCUCACCAAGGCGACGAUCCCUAGCUGGUCUGAGAGGAUGACCAGCCACACUGGAACUGAGACACGGUCCAGACUCCUACGGGAGGCAGCAGUGGGGAAUAUUGCACAAUGGGCGCAAGCCUGAUGCAGCCAUGCCGCGUGUAUGAAGAAGGCCUUCGGGUUGUAAAGUACUUUCAGCGGGGAGGAAGGGAGUAAAGUUAAUACCUUUGCUCAUUGACGUUACCCGCAGAAGAAGCACCGGCUAACUCCGUG